UAAAAGCAUGACUGUAACUCUGUUUAAAUCUGUGAUAUUUGAUUAAACCACAGCAGAAUCUCAUUAGCAGAUCAGCAGAAAUGGCUUCAACCAAUGACAGUCCUGUGUAUUCACUAGUAUCAGCCAAUCAGAGCGAGGAUCUUUAUGCCAAAGUUAAUUUUAAAGCAAAGAAAGCCAAACGCUCCAGCAGAGCAGAAGCAGGAGAUGUGGAGGAUCUUCAAUACGCCAGUGUUCAUUUCUUCAAGAACAAAGACAUGAAGACUGAAGAACAUCAGAAGAUGGAGAUGCAGCGUCCGUCUGAUGCCAACAGGUGUGAGGACGUGAUUUACAGCUCAGUCAAAUAAACAACAUUGGGUCAAUGCCUGUUGAUGAUCAUCAGAGACUGGAUGAGUUUUGCUAUUUAGAUUUUAACAGAUUUAAUUUUCAACUUUCUGAUGUAUUAACUUUUGAAUUGAUUGUCAGUAUCGCACGCACACACAGUCUUCUCUCUACAAUGACACUGACUUUUUUGCCAUUUAAUUUUAGCUGCUUUUUACAUUAAAUACAGCUGUGUCUUCUUUAUAUUAUUGUUAAAUAUAUCAAACCAUAAGUUUUAAAGUUAAGUUUUAUCUUGCUUUUUAAUUUUAUAUAAGUUUUUGAUUGUGACAUCCUCAUGACAGUUUACCACAUUGUACACCAAUAUCUUAUGUAAUAAUGUUUUAUAAAGCUCUACCGUGUUACUUUUGUAUGAAAAUAAAAGUAUUUCAAUAGCUGCCAUCA